AUUAAGCAUGUGUGAACUAAACUAGGCUGCUGUAUAGCGAUAAUAAUAAUUAUUAUUUUGGCUAUCAUCUUUUUUGUGCGAUUUCUAUACUAGAAACUUACGUUUGUAAGUUGCUUGUUAUUAAUUUCACUAUUUAACCCAGAAAAUCUACUUGCUUAUAUUUUAUAUUGUGUAACUAUAGCUAAACAGUAUUUGAUAAGGAGAAAUCUGGAUUUUUGAAAUCUGAAGUGUAUUAAUUUUUUAAAUAUACUUUUAUCAGUCACUUAUAUAGUUCACACCAUAUUUUUUAUUUUAG